GUAAAAGCUCUGGGGUGAUGAAACAGAGCUCCAAGACCAUCCAUUUGAAAGGAAUUACUAAGGAUUGUGUGCCUAGAUGCUCCCUUGGACAUAUCUGAAAAUGUUAGCCAAGGCAACUGGUGAAGUGAAUUAUCAGCCUUGCAAAGUCUAACCUCACCAACACUUUGCUUUCUGGGUCCCUUCCAAUUCUACUGUACCAGGGAGAAGCCACUUCAGAGAAGAACUUCUGGGGCUCCACACUGGUGCAUGUUGGCCCCCUGCAUAGGCUGGUGCCUCAUCCCUUCUGAGUAAGAGGAGGACGGAAGAUCUUGGAGAAGGAAGAAAAGAAUGGGAGGAAGCAAGCAGCAUUGCUGGAGUGGCAUGCACAGGUCUGCUUGUGUGGUAGGCCGAUGCUGUGGUGGCCCUGUGAGGCAACUAAUUCACCUUCUCCAGGCCAAACAGUCCAACAAUUCAAGGAGAUGGUGAGAGAGCUAGGACCGUUCAGCCUGGAGAAGAGGACGCUCAAGGGAAACUCAUCAAUGUGUAUAAUACCUGAAGGGAGAGUGCAAAGAGAGCAGAGUCAAUCUCUCUUCAGUGGUGGCCAGUGCCAGGACAAGACGUGAUGAAACACAGGAUGUUCCAUCUAAAUGUCAGGAAACACUUAUUUACUGUGUGAGUGAUGGAGUGCUGGCACAGGCUGCCCAGAGAAAUGGAGUCUCUUCCUUGGAGAUGUUCAGAAGCUGCUUGGACAUGGCUCUGGUCACGCUGAUCUAAGUGUCCCUAUUUAAGCAGGAGUUGGACUAGGUGGACGCAGAUGUCCCUUCCAAUCCUGGCCAUUCUGUUGUUAUACUUUCCAUUUGCUCCCCUUUUCUCACUCCAAAGUGCCAGUAAGGAAGGGGAAAGUUUGUCCCAAGGUGAACUGCUCCUCCUGCUGAUUUAAAAACCCAAAGCCCAGCGAUCAGGAACGGUAUACUUUCCAUCAUUUAUGACGUUGUUGUCUUCUCAUCUUUCCCUUUUCUAAGUGUUAUGUAGGCUGUGAAAGUAAAAUUCUGAACAUUAUGGUACUGUAGGCACUCUGUGUACAUAGAGAAAUUGGAGGAUUAAGAGCGAGAAUGACUGAGUGGUAGAGCCUUGUAUAAGAAAAUGACAGAUGCCCUGGUUUAAAAGGUGACAAUUUGCCUAUGCAGUUAAAUGGUUAUGUCAAGGCAUCAGGAAAUUUGGGAACUUGAAUGCAGAGAAGGAAGCAUUUGAAAACGCAGUCUGCCUUGAGCUUCUGAAGUAGCCUCCGAGCUCCAGAACUGAUGUUUUGUAAUUUUGCCUUAUCAUCUGCCUGGGUUUAUCAUGGUGGUAAUAGGGAUAAUGACAGAGAGUCAGUCAUUUCCACUUAGAUGCCAGUUUUUAAGUAAUAAUAAGCUCACAGCGGGUUCGAUUUGGUCUGUGCUGAGAGUACCUGGGGUUAUUUUCCCUUUGCUUUCUCAUGGUAAAUUAUCUCAGCCCACCAGGGCCAAGCUGAUUUUCUAGCUGUAAAAACAGAGAAGACGAACAUGCAGCAGCACACUAUACACUUAGCUGCUUCCUCCUUUGUUGUUUUCUUUAUGUUAUUUAGGAAGAGAAAAUUCUCUGAGUCACCCGUUAUGGUUUGAAUCCAGGUCAUAAAAAGAAGAGUAAACUAAUAGUGGACUGUCUUCCCUAACCCCCUCACCCCAUGCAUCUCUCCUCUGUAUUGCAGUCCCUAAUGGGAGCAUUUAAAACCAGUGCUUAUGAUAAUGCCCUUGUUCCCAUGGACACCACAGCACUGCAGAACCAAGAUUAAUGGAGGACCAUUGAGACUGGUCCUAAAAGAUUGUCCCUCUUGUGUAUUAUGGUCUGUCAUGCUGCAUCCAUUAGCAGAGGAGCGGAGGGUCCUCAUCGUGUUGGUAUCACUGGGACCAAAUCGAGCUACAGCAAGAUGGCAUUUCCAUAGCACAUCAACAGAUCAUUUCACCACUGCUUAAGGCAUCGUAAAUUGGACUUAUAGCUCAGCUGCUGGCAUAAAUAAGUCCCUUUGAUAGUUAGUGGAAGACGUUAUGACACUCCAGGGUACAGGAGGGGACAUUGGCACUGUCAUUUUUUUUCUCCAGCCCUGGCACCCUGGUGCCUCUGAUCUUUCUGAAGAUUCAGGGCACGCGCUCUUCAUUACGGUUUGGGCACCAGGGACUUGUUUUUUUUGCAAGAUUAAUGAGCGCCACGGAAAUUCUCCAGCGCAUCUCGAUAAUUAAGUCUUUGUUUAUCAAAAAACAAGUUAUAUUAGGAGCAGAAAAUUCGCAGUAAUUAUUCAUAAUUCUAACAAUUCAAGUAUAGCUACCUCAUUUGCCUGGGUAAUUCUGCUUUUUAAUUUCUUGCAUACAUUUGCAUAUUAAUUUUGCCCGUCGGCUGCAGCAGGCUUUGACAGUUUGUUACUAUGUGAUGGUUUUCACAGGGGUGCGACUCAGUUGGGUGGCAUUUCGACUGGGUGCAAUGAUAAAUUAUGAAUUUUCUAAUUUGCUGCAUAAUGAAGUAACCCCUUCCAACCCAAUUAAAAAAAAAAAAAGCCAAGAUCGUGUCUUUUAAAUAAUAUUUCCCAGGUAUUUCAUCUCUCCGUUUUUGUUGUUGUUGUUGUUUUGCAAGCAUGUUUUUUUCACUUAAAAAGCAGAUGACUGCAUUUGCAGCCUUUCAGAAUGACUGUGCCUUUCCAUACAUCAAACAUGAUUCAUGAUUCAUAUAUCCCUAGACUAUAUUCAUGCUGUAAAUUGGCCACUCCUCAAGCCUCAGGGCAAUCACGGAUGAUAGCAAAGAAGUCCCAGUUUCUUCUCUGAUGUCCAAUUUGGGCUGUAGUGAUCUGUGUGUAUGAGUCUGUCUGUCUGUGUGUCGGGGAGCAGGGAUUUCAAAUGAGGGAAAUAAAUGAUGUGUGUUUGUUUUACAUACUUACUCAAGAGGCUGUACUGUUGUAAAUUAACUGCUAAACUACUGUGUGGGUUUCCUUCUAAUUUCUUAAAAUGGUUGUAGAAAUAAAUGUAUAUGUAUUUAUUACUUGAGCAUUGUAAAAAGGGAUCUGUGGAGACUUAAUUUGUGGGUGAGAGAUAAGGGAUUUUAGUUUGGUGUUGGUAAGUGUGUUCAGUACGUUUGGUAAUUUUAUGCUCAUAAUGCAGCACUUAGAAAAGCACAAGUAUUGCUGGGUAAAAUUUGUGGUGUUUCAUUAUACAACUGCAGACGGGCAAAACAGUUUAGAAAUACUGUAGGCCUGAUGCCAUCCCGACUUUAAAGAAUCUGAAAUAACCCAGCCAAUCUGUUUAGCAUGAUGCAAAUACUGUAAUUGUACAAUUAUGCUGCAUUUUUAAUAUAGAACAAUUCCUAUACAUUUUGUUGCCUCUUAAAAUUCUGCAUUAUUAAGAAACCAAGCCAUGAUUGUAUCGGAGGCUACACCACAACCCCACGGCAGUAGAUCAUGGAGGAUUUUGACAUUAAUACCCUACAAUCAAGCCGCGGAGAGCACACAGCACUAAUGCAAACCAACCACAAAGUGCAGAUUACAUAAGAUUAAUUCUGCACGUCCCCCUAAUGCAAGCACGGAGACUCUGUGCUACCAUCGCCCAGCCUGGCAGCACAGUACAUGAGGCCCCGACACUGCCUUGCACCGGUACUGCAGCAUUAUAUCAACAUUAUUAUAAUACAUAGCACAGAGUGUAUGCCUGGCACAACUGGGCAAUGCGGAGCACAGUGAUAUUAUAGAGUAAUCACACAGCUAACAUUCAUGCCUACAAUACAGAACAACCAGCAGUAAUGCUGAGCACAAUGUGGCGUUGCCAUAGCCUAUAUUAGAGCAGUUCAGCACAGCAAUGAAGUGUGGUGGCGUGUUGCAUCUUUAUACAUACAAGCGGAAGCUGCUGUACUCAAGUGGCAGCCGCACGGAUGCUAGCAUGGCUGGCCACAGCUGUACACACACCCCAGACCAGUGUGGGCACCUAGGACCAAUGCACCUCAGUUAAAUGCAGCUUGUGCUCUUAUGGAAGAAAAUGUGGACCCAAAGCAUGAAUCUGUACGAAACUGGAAUAAAUGUGUGACAUAUGCACUCAUUACUGCAUAAUUUGAUUGUGGUGAGUGAUGCUACAGCUCAGUCACAAAACAUUUUGCCUCUUACUUCAUAAAAGAAACAACUCAAUGCAAAUAUACCACAGUAACCUGUUAUUGCUUUGUAUUAAUUAUGAGAAAAUCUUCCUAUAUUAAAUUGAGUGGAGAAUUCAGCUUUGUAAAAGUAAAGACUUUCCAUAGGCACUGAUUUGAAGACAUUUUAAUAUUAACUGACCUAAAUGUUAACCAGUCUGCUCAGACUUUUUCAUUUCUACAUGCCUUUGCUUUGAAUUUUUCUAUUAUUAGCAAGUUUUUUAAUAUGUCAAAAUUGUCCAAGUUGGUGUUAUUUUAACAACAGCUAACUUGAAAUUUGCACCCCAAUUUA